rnacentral:tRNA from 1 species
GGACCCGUAGCCUAGUCUGGAUUCUUUAUUAAGACAGAAAGGGCAACUGCCUUCUAAGCAGUGGGUCGAGGGUUCAAAUCCCUCCGGGUCCA